ACGAGUUAGGGUCUUUCCAGGCCCGACCUCCCAACCCUUUGUUUACCACACCAUUUGUUGCUUCGGCGAGCCCGUCUUCACGGACCGCCGGGGGACCGUCACACGUCUCCUGGCCCGCCGCUCGCCGGUAGCCCAACCUUUAAAUUAUUAACCAAACGUGUCUUGACUAAGUACCAAUUUUUUAAUUAAAUUA
rnacentral:misc_RNA from 1 species